GAUACUUGGUGUGAAUUGCAGAAUCCCGUGAACCAUCGAGUCUUUGAACGCAAGUUGCGCCUGAAGCCAUUAGGUUGAAGGCACGUCUGCCUGGGCGUCACGC
rnacentral:rRNA from 1 species